rnacentral:rRNA from 1 species
CACGUAGGGUGCGAGCGUUGUCCGGAAUUAUUGGGCGUAAAGAGCUCGUAGGCGGUGUGUCGCGUCGGCCGUGAAAACCUGCAGCUUAACUGUGGGCUUGCGGUCGAUACGGGCAUCACUGGAGUUCGGCAGGGGAGACUGGAAUUCCUGGUGUAGCGGUGAAAUGCGCAGAUAUCAGGAGGAACACCGGUGGCGAAGGCGGGUCUCUGGGU